CUGCCUACCAAAGAUAUCAGAUUCAUCAACCACAGAAGUUGAAGAUUCCCUUUUUUCUUGUUUACCGGAAUCAAGAUACUUUGUUAGAUCAAGGCGACCAAUUUGCUUUUCCAACUCCUCCAAUGUUUCAAUGGUGUCUUCCAACUUCUCCUUUAUGUUAAGAAAAAAAUCA